rnacentral:hammerhead_ribozyme from 1 species
GUCCAGCUGACGAGUCGUAAAUAGGACGAAACGCGCGUCCUGGAU